rnacentral:rRNA from 1 species
GAUCCUGCUCAGGAUGAACGCUAGCUACAGGCUUAACACAUGCAAGUCGAGGGGCAGCAUGAAAGGAACUUCGGUUCUUUUUGAUGGCGACCGGCGCACGGGUGCGUAACGCGUAUCGAACCUGCCUCAUACUCGGGGAUAGCCUUGCGAAAGUAAGAUUAAUACCCGGCGGUCUCGGAUGGCCGCAUGACUAUCCGAGUGAAGAUUUAUCGGUAUGAGAUGGCGAUGCGUCCCA